rnacentral:rRNA from 1 species
AUGCAUGUCACUCUUUACUCAUCGAACGAAGCAUCAAUGUUAACCGUGACAAAGUCUCUGGUAGGAGGGUUCCAAGUCACUUCCCUCACCCUCUGUAAAGCAAAACUAGUUUUUGUUGUUGAGGGAAACAAAAACACAUUGGCUUUCUUCCUCGGUUUUCCCUUCCCUCUCGGUUCUCACCGUCGCCGGCCUAUUCUUCCACAGAUUGGACACGUCUCUGCUGAUAAAUUUCAUCCUUUGCAUCCGUUGACGCCUUCACCUCGCAUGGAAGCCAUCGGAUCCAGCAUCAUUGUUGCACCUCCCCACCCGCUUUCACCGGAGUCGUGCCCUGCCGUCAUUGCCUUCAUCAAAUCCCGCACUAUCACCGUUGGGGUUCCGUCACCAACACGCCGGCUGCAACCAUUUGCCUUGCCUCAUAGGGGAGCAACCGGGCUUCCUGAAACUGAAAAAACACAGUUAUGUUUAGCAAAUGUGUGCUUCCUGAAAAGUGAAAAUCACAAUUUUGUGCUUCACGGUGAAGCACAACUGUGUUUCGCGGUUUUUGUUUUUAUCCGUUUCUAUUUUUUUUCCCGGUUUCCAUUUUUUUGGCUUUUUUGGGAAAGAAGUUCGCCCAAACUUAUUACAUGGGAUCUAGUUUUGAAAAUCUUGAUGUGA